AAAGAUUAAGCCAUGCAUGUCUAAGUAUAAGCAAUUAUACCGUGAAACUGCGAAUGGCUCAUUAAAUCAGUUAUCGUUUAUUUGAUAAUACCUUACUACUUGGAUAACCGUGGUAAUUCUAGAGCUAAUACAUGCUGAAAAUCCCGACUUCGGAAGGGAUGUGUUUAUUAGAUAAAAAACCAAUGCCCUUCGGGGCUCUUUGGUGAUUCAUGAUAACUUUACGGAUCGCAUAGCCUUGCGCUGGCGACGGUUCAUUCAAAUUUCUGCCCUAUCAACUUUCGAUGUUUGGGUAUUGGCUUACCAUGGUUU
rnacentral:rRNA from 1 species